CUCCCCGUAGCUCAGUUGGUAGAGCAUGGUGUUUGCAACACCAGGGUUGUGGGUUCGAUUCCCACGGGGGGC
rnacentral:tRNA from 1 species